GACGAACGCUGGCGGCGUGCUUAACACAUGCAAGUCGAACGGAAAGGCCCUGCUUUUGUGGGGUGCUCGAGUGGCGAACGGGUGAGUAACACGUGAGUAACCUGCCCUUGACUUUGGGAUAACUUCAGGAAACUGGGGCUAAUACCGGAUAGGAGCUCCUGCUGCAUGGUGGGGGUUGGAAAGUUUCGGCGGUUGGGGAUGGACUCGCGGCUUAUCAGCUUGUUGGUGGGGUAGUUGCUUACCAAGGCUUUGACGGGUAGCCGGCCUGAGAGGGUGACCGGCCACAUUGGGACUGAGAUACGGCCCAGACUCCAACGGGAGGCAGCAGUGGGGAAUAUUGCACAAUGGGCGGAAGCCUGAUGCAGCAACGCCGCGUGCGGGAUGACGGCCUUCGGGUUGUAAACCGCUUUCGCCUGUGACGAAGCGUGAGUGACGGUAAUGGGUAAAGAAGCACCGGCUAACUACGUG
rnacentral:rRNA from 1 species